GUUUGCAGUGAGCCGAGAAUGCACCACUGCACUCCAGCCUGGGCGACAGAGGGAGACUUCAUCUCAAAGAAAAAAAAAAGGCCGUUUCACACAGGCAGCCCCCUCAGUAGCACUUCUGCCAUCAGAGAGAGAAAGAAAUGACCAUGGCCACAGGACAGUUUGCCCACAGUCCCUUGGCAAAGAACUCCUCUUAACUCAUCUCAGGAUAAGAGCCUUCGAAAUUUGGAGAACUGCCUAUCAGAGGCAUGGAAAGACACGAGGCUGUCUCACAGAAUGGAAAACUGUGGUUUGGAGCAGUUACAUGGGCUCCAUCCACAACUCCAAAAAUGUUAGUCACCCACCCAGUGAGCACCAGGACAUUGGCCAAGGCAGGGACAGGAGCACAAUGAGGGAGUGCCAGUGUCCCUGGAAGAGACCUCAACUCUGACUGUGCCACUUCGAGUGGAGGGACCUCGGCAAAACCAAGCAUCUGAACUGGGAGACGCUGAUCGACACCAUGGUUGCCGAACUGGGUCUGGGAGCCUCCAAGGGGAAGCAUCAGGGGCUGCAGUAGGGAUAGCGAGGUCAGCCACGAGGCCAAACAGGGCAGCUCCAGCCCCCACUCCAGCUCAACAGAUAACUCAGCUGCAUCUUUAAUUCUGGGGAAUCUAGGUAUGAACUGGUUUGCAAUGAGGUUCUCCAGAUUUUUAGAAAAACUUUGACAAUCCCUGGAUUAAGGCAUCUUGCAAGAGGACAGGGAAGGACUUAGCAGAUGAAUGAGGUUACGAGCGUAGGCUUUGGAGCCAGAAGGCCUGGGGCUUCAAAUCUCAGCCUGUGUGGCCCUAGACGAGUGGCUGCAUUUCUCAGGCCUUCAGUUUCCUCAUCUGUAAAAUGCAGGUAACAACAGAACCAACUUUUUACAGUCAUCAUGUGGAUUCAGUGAGUUAUUUCAAACAAAGUGCUUAAAACAGAGCUUGACACAUAGAAGCACUCCAUGUAAGCUGCCAUUCAGAUUUCUAAGUCAGGUCUAGUUAUCUUGUGAAAAGCAGAAAUGCCCAUCUAUGAGGUGCUUAAACUAGUACUCACGAUUACGAGCAAGUUCUUAUUGUUCUCAGACAGAAGUCACCCCACGAAACCACUUGCCCAGAAACCUGUCAGUAGGCAGUGAAUUUUUCUUCCAUGGUAAAAAAGGGAAGUGGUACCUAAACCCUAGCACACCCAGAUACCUUUGCCCUAAAAACAUAUUGUCUUCAAUUCAGGAUGCAGCCAUUGUACACAGCAUGGGACUAUGCAAUAGCAUAAGAAUUAGAACUGGAAAUAACACACUGUCUUGUGUAUUAAAAACGGCCUGCACUAUUUAGUAGCUGUGUGACUUGGACAGUCUCAUUCACCGCAUCCUUAACGUGGGAAUAAUCAUACUCCUAACCACAGGGAGUAAUAAAGAUUUGAUUGAAAGCAAUUAGCAGACUGCUUGCCACCUAGUAAGACUUCAAUAAUGAGCAAGCACGAAGCCACCUUCCUAAAAAGGGACUUAACACAAGAGGUCAAAGCCAGCCCAGAAUGGCAGACAAAGAGGGGGCGGUCAGACUCAGCCAGCACCUGAGUCUCAUCACCCAGAAGGGACAAGUCAAGCAUGCCCGCCAAGCAGCCCAGCCUCUACUCAGCCUUACCAGCCCCCGGGCUCCUUGGAGACAUUGUGGAUGAGGGCGCCACGGCAGAAGCUCAGCUCAUCGCUUCGCUUGGCUUUGUAGUCAUACAGAGCUUUCACAGUUCUCUGAGGCUUUCAGGGAAAACAAGAAAGAAAACGUCAGGCCAGGGACAGGAGGCUGCAUUCCAGGCAUCAUUCAGUUCUUCUCACUGGGGAGCAGGAGGCUUCAGGACAAGAUUACAAAGUCAUCUGCUGGAGAGGGACUGGCAUUGCAAAGGACCUAAGGCCCCAAAAAGUCACCAGGGAGUGAAGGAAGUCUGGCCUGGUCAGAGCUAAGGGUAUCUGGGUUAGGGUUAGGGCUAGGGUUAGGGGCUAAGGAUUAUGGGUUAGGGUUUAGGGUUUUGGCACAGGGGUUAGGAGUCAGGGUUAGGGUUAGGGUUAGGGUUAGGGUUAUAGUUUAGGGAUAGAGAUGAGGUUAGGGUGAGAGUGCCCCUGUAUUUCACUGACCCAAUAUUCCUCAAUUUCUUCAACAAAGAAAGGAAAUGCCUUUUAGAUUAAGCCAAGACCUCCGUCACAGUGCCUGUGCUCAUCAAGCCUCCCAGAAGUUCAAGGGCAACCCCAUUCUUCCUGCCUGUCCUGAGGGCCUCACUGCUCUUUUUAUGUAGGUCAGCGGUCCCCUAUCUAUACUCUUGCAGGCCGCUGACCUUUUGCAAGACUAAGUCAGGCUCUCCUCUAUGAAAUUCAUCAAAAGGUGAUCUCUGUUGUCAUAACUAAGUAAGAACUUCCUCAGUAUAGAAAUUUUAUUCAAUGAAUUUGCUUUCAUGCCUUCUGCCUGGCAGGCAUAAACGAAUACCCAGAUGGCAAGCAAAUAUUAAUGGGAAAACCUCUGACGCCGUCAAACCUGUUUAGAUCAGCGGCUUCCUUCUUCUGCCACCCAAAGGAAAUGGGAACAGGAAUUUCACAGGGAAUCCAGUAAAACUAUUCCUCAGAACACAGGCUACAAAGUCAGACAUGUAGGUUCAAACCAUUGCCCUGCCCUUAAAUGGUUACAUAAGGUUGAGACUCUCUGAUCCUCAGCUCCCCCAUCUGUGAAAUGAGAAGUAAAUUUUUAUACAUUUCACAGGAUUGUUAAACUAUCACAUGAGAUCGUGUGUAUAACGACAUAACUCACAGGAGCUUGCGAUUCUUCAGUGCUAACUGCAGUACAGGUCAAAGCACUGUUCCGAGCCUCAGGGUAUCACCUUUAAUCCCUACAACCACCGUAACAGGUAGGUAGUUACGUGAUUAUCCCCAUUUUACAGAUGAUGAAAAAACUGAGAUGCGGAGAAGGAAAGUAACUUGCCCCACAUCAACCAGCUGUUUUAAGUAGCUGAGCCCGGAACUGCAUCUAUCAAUGUGAGUUAUUGCCAUAGCUCAGGAUGUUUCGUAAGAAGCAAUGUGGGUUCUAGAAGCUCUGCCACAGGGAUCUGCAGCGGGAGGCUAAGCAGAGCCCUUGCCUAUCUCUCUCCCUCCUGCAGACAGAGCGGCCUCUACCUGCAUAUCCUGCUUCAAGGGUGGAUGUAAGGGCCAGAGCCAGGCUCCAAGGCCACAGGAACGAACACUCAUCAGUUAGAGGGGUGACUGUUCUCAUCACCAAAACAUCCUUCACUUCUAACAAAAUUUUUGCUGCUAAGUUCUCUUAAUGCAUUUCACAUACAGCUGAAUUUGCCUACAACUUUUCAAGAUUUCAUUUAUUUCUGAAAGAGAUCUACAUUGGCCAAGGAUUAUAAAUUUUUAAAAAACAAAGUCACCUAUGGAUUUCAACAGAGCCCACAAGCAGGGCCCCUGCCUAAGCGAGCGCUGUACACUAAUCGUGGGCCACAUGGCCCCCAAACAGAAAAUUUGCCGCCGUUCUUCCUCUGCCGGUUCAAACUAAAUCUGAGAUGAAACCAUGGCAAGGAAGAGCCGAGGGCUCAAAGUAAAAUCCAUCCCUACCUGCAUGAAAUUACACGACAGAGUUGGGGUGGGAAUAUGAGAUAGUGUUUGCACUGUUUGCACUGCAGGGAGGUCAGCGAACCAGAUGGAAUUUAUAAACACCACGGGCUCCAUCAGUGAGCAAGAAACAUUUGAAAGACUUAAUUAGAAGCCAUUUUGGCCCAGAGGUGGUUCAGGAAACCUCAGAAUUUUAGCAAAACACUGUUGCAUUUGGAUGGAAUUCUAUUAACCUUUACCCUGAAACUAGACUUCAUACUGUCAAUCAUCGUUUCUUCUCAAAAAAAUAAAUAAAUAAAUUAUUUUGGCCGGGUUUUCCAGAAUCUUCCCUUGCCCUGUUGUAACUGCCAGGAGAACAAGAUGGAAUCCACAUCAGCCUAGUGACUCAGAAAUCACGUGAGCUGGGGGUUCAGCACUGUACCAUGGACGGAUUGAUUUCACUGGGAUCCACAUACAUUCUGCUGACAUCAUAGAGGGAGUUUAUAUCUCUUUCCUGGAAGAAAAAAGAAAGAAAGAAAUGUAAUAAUCCACGCUCCUAGAAUAGCCCUUCCAUAUUACAAGAGUUCUAGGCUUCCUUAUGGUUACCUAUCCUUCGAUAGAAGAGUUGAAAUGUCAUAGAAUUUUCUUGUGACCCAUGAGUGGACACAGGAAAAAGCUAUACAAAAGGUCUCCAGACUUGGAAACUAACCCAAAAUCAGAGAGGCCCUGGCAUGGCCUGCUGUGUGCCAGGCACCAUGUUCCCUUGUAAAAACACAAAUCCUAAGAUCCAGUGGUGCGCUGGAGUGAGCUCCCAGCUCGCAAAAGCCCACUGUGUACAUCGCUUCCUGACUCCACAUUUAAGGUUUGAUGGCAGCAUAUCAGCAACUUGAAACUGACCACCAUGUAAGUAUUUACACCACGGAAAUUGGCAAAUGCUACAAACCACUGCUUUCCCCCUCAGAGCUGUUUAAACAUUUGCUAGCACACCACUGCCAAGAUCUGCCCCCAGCACCUCUCUGUUCCUCUCUAACUCUUCUUUCUGUUCCUCAUGUCACCUGAGGGCUUGUGGUGUGGCUACUCCUCUACCUAGAGCUACCCCUUCCUUCACUUCUCCCCCAAGUCCAUUCACCACUGUCUUCCAUGUUUCAGCUCACAUUUCCCCCCUUUUAAGGUGGCCUUCUCUGAUCACCACCCCCACAGUCUAAGGCAGUACCCACCCCUUUUCACACAAUCCUGUUUUCUUUGCUUUAUUAUACUUCAUGCUACCUGAAAUUAUCUUCGUUAUGUAUAUUAUCUCUCCUCUCCAGAACCUACAUUUCCCAAAGGCAGAUUUUGUUCCAUAGUACUCCCAGUAUCUACAACAGUUCUUGGCACAUGGUCAGGAUGACAUAAAUCUCUUUUCAAUAAAUUAAUGAUCUGUGUGGUAGGAAGGGAGACACUGUAAUCAUGUCGGGUCUCUUCUGUACCCAGAACUGUCCAAUAACUCAGAGAAAAAGCCAGGGCCUUAUAAUGGCCUCUGAGCCCUGCAUGAUCCAGUCCCCUGUGAACCCCCAUUUUCAUUUAGCUCCACCUCCACCUAGGCUUGCUCAAUUCCAGCUGCUUCUUGGUGCCUCCAGGCAGGCUCCUACCUCAGGACCUUUGCACAUGCUAUCCUCUCUUCCUACAGAAGUUACCCACCUGGCUCACUCCUUCUCAGUGACAUCUUCCUAGACCACCCUCUGAAAACUGCAAUCCCUUCCCCAUCACUCUGCAUCCCCUUAUCCACCUGCCCAGUGUUUCUCCUUAGCUCUCAUCACCAUCUGACACACACUAUGGAUAUUUUAAACCUCAUUUGUUGCAUCUCCCCAUCACUACACUAUAAGCAGCACAAGGGCAGGGUCUUUUUCUGUUGUGUUCAGUUUGUAUCCCCAGAACCUACAGCAGUAUUAGACACAUGGUGAAUACUCAGAGGUUUGCUGAACUCAGGAACAGAUGAGCUACAACCUCAGACAAGAAAUCCCACCAAAUCACAAGGGAGUCAACCACCUACCAUAUUGUAGCGCUCCAGGAGCUCGGGCGUCACGGGGUAGCGCAGUCUCAUCUUUCGGUAGAGUGAAUGCUUCUCAUAGUAACUGACGAGCUCCACCAGGCUCUCAAAAUAGGCGGAGGUUCCCAGAACAAAGUGCCGGCCGUCCCGGUUGAUGCGACAAUGCUUCACCUUGCCCCUAGCCCUGGAUCGGGAAGAACACAGCGGUUGACAUGUCAAGAUCCUGGUGGCCAAACAAUUUUUAUACAAACCCCACUGAUUAGAUACAACGUAGUUAUCCAGCCUUAGAGAAGUGGGUACAGAAACAGGGUGUAGUCCUCCUAUGGAAUACAAGGCAAUUAAAAACAAUGAUGUGGGUAUUUUCAAAACAGAUCUAGAAGACUCUGUGUCUCAGAAGAAAUAUUGCUGACUGACUCAACAGCUCCUCUUACCCUUCCCCUCCUCCCCAGCUACAGGGCUUGACUUUAGGACCAUCUUAGGGAACUAGAUGAGGAGUAGGCCAAAUCUGUCCCACCACUUUUUAUAAAUAAAGCUUUAUUGAAACACAACUAUAGUUCAUUUGUAUAUACAUUGUCUGGGCUGUUUUCAUACUGUAACAGCAGAGUUGCAUAGCUGCAACAGAGACCAUAUGGCCAGUAAAACCUAAAAUAUUCACUCUUUGGUCCUUUACAGAAAAUGCUUGCCAAUCUUCCCCACCAAAUUCUUAAAUCUUGCCUUCAAUGACUCAGCUAGCAAAAUGACGACUUUUUUUUUUUUUUUUUUUUUUCAAAAAAGAGACAAGUCUUUCAUUCCUUCAUCUGUUUGAAACAUGAAGCAGAAAAAAUCCAAAACAGAACAGCCUCCUUAGUUUUAUUAGCUUUUUUCAGCAAGACAAAAACAUCUGGAAAAAUAUAUUUUGACCCUAGCUUUAUAGCCAAGAGGCUCUUCAAACUGGACCUUUAUCUCACACCAUAAACAAAAAAAGCACCUCAAAAUGGAUUAAAGACUAAACAUAAGACCUGAAACUGUAAAACUACUAGAAGAAAACCAAGAGUAAAAACUGUGUAACAUGGGUCUGGACAAUGAUUUUCCAGAUAGCACCC